UUUUAUUGGGACACUAAGAUGCUAUAUAUUCAAUUCCAAAACUCAUGAAGCACUUAGUAGCACUUUUUUCUUCAUUAGGUGCCUUAAGAUUACCUGACUCUCUAGUGGAAAGUGGUUUGUCUUUCUCCUCCUCAUCCCUCCUAGGUCAUCUAGAAUUAAAUUAAGGGGUGGAGCUAGUGGCUCUUUUGGUUGGCCCUUUGGACUUUAGUUGUCUAAUUAUUUUGGUGGCCAUGUAAACCAUGUCUUCCCAGGCAAUGUAAUGUUAUAGUUCAACGAAGUUGGAAAUCCCUUUAUUCAGGUCACCUAAGAAUUAAGCCAUGGUGAGUUUAAGAUUCUCAUAGACCCCUGUUUGGAUCAUGAUUACCUCCAUCUCCCUAUGGUACUCAUCCACUGACUUGGAACCUUGGGUUAAGUGUUUAAGUUUCCUAUUCAUGUCUCUGUUAAAGUAAGAUGGUAUAAAAAAAAUUUCAUGAUAGAUCUCAACUCUCUCUCCAUAGAAAUAGGUUCAUCUCCAUCCCAAGCUCUGAGGGUAACUAAUUGGUCCCACCAGACCACUGCAUAGUCUGUAACUUGAGUUGCCAACUUGACCGUUUUCUAUUCGACAUAGUUAUGGUAGCAGAAGAUGUGAUCUAUUUUUCUCUUUAGUUUUUGAUAGGCUUUAACAUUGUUAUUUCCUUUUAUAGAUGGUAUUUGUAUCUUGAUGGAACUAAAUUCUCCAUCUUCUCUCUUUCAUCUAUUUUUCCCUUCCAUCACUUACAUUAUCACCGCAAGACCCUAUCUCUUUUGGCAUUAUAUGGCACUGGGUUGUAUUGUGGUUUCCUUCAUAUUCCAACCUAUCCAUUCUAGUAGUCAUGUUCCCCAUUUGGACACUCAGCUGGGUGAACAUGUUUACUAUUAUAUCCUCUAUAAUGGUGGGUCCACUAUUCUCACUGGGGUGAGGCAUAGAAAAAAUAGUAGAGUUCGUGCAAAAGGGACAAGUUCCUUAAAGAUAGUUUAAAAACUCUUAG
rnacentral:lncRNA from 1 species